GACGUAGGGCGCGAGCGUUGUCCGGAGUUACUGGGCGUAAAGGGCGCGUAGGCGGUUCGUACAGUCAGACGUGAAAUUCCUGGGCUCAACCUGGGGGCUGCGUUUGAUACGUGCGGACUUGAGUGCGGAAGAGGGUCGUGGAAUUCCCAGUGUAGAGGUGAAAUUCGUAGAUAUUGGGAAGAACACCGGUGGCGAAGGCGGCGACCUGGUCCGAUACUGACGCUGAGGCGCGAAAGCGUGGGGAGCAAACAGG
rnacentral:rRNA from 1 species